rnacentral:rRNA from 1 species
AUGAACGCUGGCGGCGUGCCUAAUCCAUGCAGGUCGAGCGAACAGACGAGGAGCUUGCUCCUCUGACGUUAGCGGCGGACGGGUGAGUAACACGUGGAUAACCUACCUAUAAGACUGGGAUAACUUCGGGAAACCGGAGCUAAUACCGGAUAAUAUAUUGAACCGCAUGGUUCAAUAGUGAAAGACGGUUUUGCUGUCACUUAUAGAUGGAUCCGCGCCGCAUUAGCUAGUUGGUAAGGUAACGGCUUACCAAGGCAACGAUGCGUAGCCGACCUGAGAGGGUGAUCGGCCACACUGGAACUGAGACACGGUCCAGACUCCUACGGGAGGCAGCAGUAGGGAAUCUUCCGCAAUGGGCGAAAGCCUGACGGAGCAACGCCGCGUGAGUGAUGAAGGUCUUCGGAUCGUAAAACUCUGUUAUUAGGGAAGAACAAUUGUGUAAGUAACUAUGCACGUCUUGACGGUACCUAAUCAGAAAGCCACGGCUAACUACGUG